rnacentral:rRNA from 1 species
UACCCGAUACAUCCUUUUCCUGCAUGGGAGAAGGAGGAAAGGCGGAGCAAUCUGUCACUUGUGGAUGGGCCUGCGGCGCAUUAGCUAGUUGGUGGGGUAAUGGCCUACCAAGGCGACGAUGCGUAGCGACCUGAGAGGGUGAUCGGCCACACUGGGACUGAGACACGGCCCAGACUCGGACCUGCGGCAGCAGUAGG